GCGACACUGAUUGGAAGACAUACACUUCUCUGAAUCUAUGAAGGUCUUGUCAUUAGCUGUUUGCACCCCAUGUUCAGUAUGAGUAGUGAAGUGUGCAAUUACCUGGACUGUCACCGAUACACCCAAUGAGGGCUCAUUUCUGACAGUCCUGAAUCCCAUCCUGAUGCUGGAGGAGCGCAGAGGGGAUCGCCGAUCAAAUCUUAGCAUGACGCUGCAAAAUCCUCGUGGCAAACAGGCACAUAAGAGGCGCCAAGGACAAAGGUCCCUCUCCCAGGUGACAAGUAGCAGAUGGCUUUGUCUGCAGAGAGAUUAAAGGAUUUUGCAUGCAUUAGAA